rnacentral:rRNA from 1 species
GACUUAAGCAUAUCAAUAAGCGGAGGAAAAGAAACCAACAGGGAUUGCCUCAGUAACGGCGAGUGAAGCGGCAACAGCUCAAUUUGAAAUCUGGCCCUUUCAGGGUCCGAGUUGUAAUUUGUAGAGGAUGUUUCGGGUGUGGCUCCGGUCUAAGUUCCUUGGAACAGGACGUCAUAGAGGGUGAGAAUCCCGUAUGUGACUGGUAGCCUACGCCCAUGUGAAACUCCUUCGACGAGUCGAGUUGUUUGGGAAUGCAGCUCAAAAUGGGUGGUAAAUUUCAUCUAAAGCUAAAUAUUGGCCAGAGACCGAUAGCGCACAAGUAGAGUGAUCGAAAGAUGAAAAGCACUUUGGAAAGAGAGUUAAACAGUACGUGAAAUUGUUGAAAGGGAAGCGCUUGCAACCAGACUUGCACGUGGCCGAUCAUCCGGUGUUCUCACCGGUGCACUCAGUCACGUUCAGGCCAGCAUCGGUUUCGACGGUUGGAUAAAGGCCUUGGGAAUGUAGCUCCUCUCGGGGAGUGUUAUAGCCCAGGGUGCAAUGCAGCCUGUUGGGACCGAGGACCGCGCUUCGGCUAGGAUGCUGGCGUAAUGGUUGUAAGCGACCCGUCUUGAAACACGGACCAAGGAGUCUAACAUCUAUGCGAGUGUUUGGGUGUCAAACCCAUACGCGUAAUGAAAGUGAACGGAGGUGAGAACCCUUAAGGGUGCAUCAUCGACCGAUCCUGAUGUCUUCGGAUGGAUUUGAGUAAGAGCAUAGCUGUUGGGACCCGAAAGAUGGUGAACUAUGCCUGAAUAGGGUGAAGCCAGAGGAAACUCUGGUGGAGGCUCGCAGCGGUUCUGACGUGCAAAUCGAUCGUCAAAUUUGGGGUAUAGGGGGCGAAAGGACUAAUC